rnacentral:rRNA from 1 species
UACGAGGGGGGCAAGCGUUGUUCGGAAUUAUUGGGCGUAAAGGGCGCGUAGGCGGUGCGGUAAGUCACCUGUGAAAACUCUGGGCUCAACUCAGAGCCUGCAGGCGAAACUGCCGUGCUUGAGUGUGGGAGAGGUGCGUGGAAUUCCCGGUGUAGCGGUGAAAUGCGUAGAUAUCGUAAGGAAGACCAGUGGCGAAGGCGGGUCUCUGGGCCGAUACUGACGCUGAGGAGCGAAAGCGUGGGGAGCGAACAGG